UGUGAGAGAGAACCAAAAUAUUGUGCACUGGCUCAGGCUAACACUGAAUCAGCAGCUACAGAAAAACUAGAAGUCAUCAGGGAAAAACUUCUUUCCAAAAAACUUGUUGGAGCCAGUCCAUUGAAAACCUCAAGGCACAGAAGAAAAAUUUCAUGGGGUGACAUCUUAUUGACAGCAGGAUUUGUGUCUUACUUUGGAAUCUUCAUACAACAACAUCACCAGGACCCAAAGGGACAUUUCUGGAUUCCUCCUCUAAAGGUAAAGUUUUCUGAAGACCAUUGAAAGAGCUCUGGCUUUUGAUAAGACUGUACAAAUUGAAAGCAUGUGUGACUCUAUUGAUCCCAUACUUGAUCCUCUGCUUGGAAGAUAUACAGUUAAAAGGGA